rnacentral:rRNA from 1 species
UACGUAGGGUGCAAGCGUUAAUCGGAAUUACUGGGCGUAAAGCGUGCGCAGGCGGUUUUGUAAGUCUGACGUGAAAUCCCCGGGCUCAACCUGGGAAUUGCGUUGGAGACUGUAAGGCUAGAGUCUGGCAGAGGGGGGUAGAAUUCCGCGUGUAGCAGUGAAAUGCGUAGAGAUGUGGAGGAACACCGAUGGCGAAGGCAACCCCCUGGGUCAAGACUGACGCUCAUGCACGAAAGCGUGGGGAGCAAACAGG